CAGCACCUCAAGUGGUCAGGAUGAUUAUUGGGCCUAAAGCAUCCGUAGCCGGCGCUGUAAGUUUUCGGUUAAAUCUGUACGCUCAACGUACAGGCUGCCGGGAAUACUGCAGCGCUAGGGAGUGGGAGAGGUAGACGGUACUCGGUAGGAAGGGGUAAAAUCCUUUGAUCUAUUGAUGACCACCUGUGGCGAAGGCGGUCUACCAGAACACGUCCGACGGCGAGGGAUGAAAGCUGGGGGAGCAAACCGGAUUAGAUACCCGAGUAGUCC
rnacentral:rRNA from 1 species